rnacentral:rRNA from 1 species
GAUGAACGCUGGCGGCGUGCCUAAUACAUGCAAGUCGAGCGAACGGACGAGAAGCUUGCUUCUCUGAUGUUAGCGGCGGACGGGUGAGUAACACGUGGAUAACCUACCUAUAAGACUGGGAUAACUUCGGGAAACCGUAGCUAAUACCGGAUAAUAUUUUGAACCGCAUGGUUCAAAAGUGAAAGACGGUCUUGCUGUCACUUAUAGAUGGAUCCGCGCUGCAUUAGCUAGUUGGUAAGGUAACGGCUUACCAAGGCAACGAUGCAUAGCCGACCUGAGAGGGUGAUCGGCCACACUGGAACUGAGACACGGUCCAGACUCCUACGGGAGGCAGCAGUAGGGAAUCUUCGGCAAUGGGCGAAAGCCUGACGGAGCAACGCCGCGUGAGUGAUGAAGGUCUUCGGAUCGUAAAACUCUGUUAUUAGGGAAGAAAAUAUGUGUAAGUAACUGUGCACAUCUUGACGGUACCUAAUCAGAAAGCCACGGCUAACUACGUG